CAAAUUUACAUAGCUUUGGGUACAAAGAGACUUACGUUGAAUCCUACUAGUUAAAUGAAAAGUAGUUGAAAGUUAUAACGUUGAAAUGUGAACAACGGUGGAUUCAACGUCCAUCCCUAACCCUUAUGCUCAUUGUUCGUUUUUUGUUUCAGUUGUAACGGCGCGGUGGAGCGGAGUAGUCGUCGGUCGCGAUCAUUCAGGCAGUCCAGUGAAGUUCAAGAAAGAAUAUACAAGUGUGUUUUUUCCUCAUAGCUGCUAAACUAUUAGUUUUGCGGAAGAUGCAUCAGGCUGUCAGUGCAGUGUAUGGAGGUGUUGCAGCAGUGCAUCUCCAAGGUCAUAAGCAUCAUCAGCACCCAGCUUUAACGGUCAUGGCCAGACUUAUAGACUCUGAUGGAUGAUGUGGAUGAUGGAUUUAAAUGAAGUAUGUAUUAAUCUGUUAUAAUUAGGGAUUGGAUUGUUUCUAUCAGAUUCACACGCACUUGCACUCAUUUUAGCAAUUUCACACACACUUUAAGCAAUUUCAUGUAGCCGCUUGUUUUAUUAAUAUUUUACUAUGGAAAUUAGGAAUGCAAUAUUUAUUUUUAAUCGACCUUCUUUGUAUAUAUUGGCUACUGAAAUUUAUGAUCUGAUUAAAGCAAUUCUUUUUUUGUUUGUUGUCAUUUACUUAUUACAAAAUUAAUAGCUGUUUAGCAGUUUCUUUUAAGGUUUAUUUAACUUGCUCUCUUAAAACUCUGUUUAAUUUGAUUGAUUGCAGUAUUUACAAUUGGAUCCUUUUAUGUUUUCUUAUUUAUUUAUGAAAUUUGAUCUCUAAUUUGGUACUCACCUUUACAAGCCUACAUUAUGUAGUAAAUUAGGCCAAGUAGGAAAAAUGUUCCCUAGCCAAUAACUGGGCUAAUGCUACAGAGUUGUCACCAGCCUGUUUGUUUUUGUUGCCUAAUUUUAGUCCUUUGCCCUUUCUAUCCUUUUCUUAAGAGGAAGGAAUGAGAAGGACAAGUGUAUUUGACGGACGGGGAGAUGUGUAUAAAGGAAAAAGUCCUCUUCAUGCACUUCCCCUCCAUUGAUUAAGCGUAGCCAAGAUGAAGCAUGGGAAGAGCUUUUUUAUUUGUAGAACAGUUUAUUGGUGUGAUUUUAAUUAAUAGAUACAGGCAAUAAAAUAAUUAAGAAAAUGUUAACUCUUAUUAUGGUAAGAUAUAUGUACAAUUUAAUAUGUAAUGUUUGACAAUUUCUUAAUUUGUAUGAUUUAAACAAUAAAACAAAACCUGACAAAAAUGUCUUGUUUAUGGUUUAUUAGUAAUGUGAAUGCAGUAUUUUUCAUCACCAUUAUACAAAGAAUCGUAAUACACAAUAUAUGAAUAGCUUUGUAAAAAAGCUGCAGCAAUAUGUUUAAGAAAUUUAAGUGAAGUGCCAACCAAAUAGACAGGAUUUCAUUGUACCUCAGCAGAGUGAUAACAAGAGAAGAAAAUUAUGAAAUGUUCAGCAGCCAGUCCUCACUUCACAUCAUGUACAGUAGCAGUUCUUCACAUUGUGUGCAGCAGCAGUUCCUCACUUUACAUCGUGUACAGUAGCGGGUCUUCGCAUCGUGUACAGCAGCGGGUCUGCACAUCGUCUACAGCAACGGGUCUUCGCAUAGUGUACAGCAGCGGGUCUUCAAUUUGUGUACAGCACCGCAUCCUCACUUCACAUCGUGUACAGCAGUGGGUCUCCACAUCGUGUACAGCAGUGGGUCUCCACAUCGUGUACAGCAGUGGGUCUCCACAUCGUGUUCAGCAGCGGGUCUUCGCUUGGUGCACAGCAACGGGUCUUUGCAUCGUGUACAGCACCGCAUCCUCACUUCACAUCGUGUACAGCUGUGGGUCUACACAUCGUGUACAGCAGCGGGUCUACGCAUCGUAUUCAGCAGUCGAACCUCGCUCUCUAUUUGAUUGACUUUUCUCAGAAUUACCUCCAGAUUCUGUGGGACUUAGAAACGUCGAAAACAUAAGUUCUAUUCAGAACAAUCUCUAUUUUCUCUGUUAUUUCAAUAACGCCAAAAACUAAGUUUAUUCAGAAUCAGAAGAUCAAAACAAAAUUCUUCUUAGAACUGACUUCUGUUUCUUUGGUUAUCACAACAAUAAAAAAGUUCUUUUCAGAACUAUCUCCUGUCUAUGGUUAUCAGAAGAACAUUAAAAGAGUUCUUUUCAGAACUGUAUCUAGUUUCUUUGGUUAAGACGGCAAAAAAAAGUUCUUUUCAGAACUAUCUCCUGUCUAUGGUUAUCAGAAGAACA